AUUGAACGCUGGCGGCAUGCCUUACACAUGCAAGUCGAACGGCAGCACGGGUGCUUGCACCUGGUGGCGAGUGGCGAACGGGUGAGUAAUACAUCGGAACGUACCUUAUCGUGGGGGAUAACGCAGCGAAAGCUGUGCUAAUACCGCAUACGCCCUGAGGGGGAAAGCGGGAGAUCGCAAGACUUCGCGCGAUUAGAGCGGCCGAUGCCUGAUUAGCUAGUUGGUGGGGUAAAAGCCCACCAAGGCGACGAUCAGUAGCUGGUCUGAGAGGACGAUCAGCCACACUGGGACUGAGACACGGCCCAGACUCCUACGGGAGGCAGCAGUGGGGAAUUUUGGACAAUGGGGGCAACCCUGAUCCAGCAAUGCCGCGUGAGUGAAGAAGGCCUUCGGGUUGUAAAGCUCUUUUGUCAGGGAAGAAACACCGGCUCUAACACAGUCCGGGAAUGACGGUACCUGAAGAAUAAGCACCGGCUAACUACGUGCCAGCAGCCGCCGUAA
rnacentral:rRNA from 1 species